rnacentral:rRNA from 2 species
AGUGGCAGACGGGUGAGUAAUGUAUAGGAAUCUACCUAGUAGUACGGAAUAAUUGUUGGAAACGGCAACUAAUACCGUAUACGCCCUACGGGGGAAAAAUUUAUUGCUAUUAGAUGAGCCUAUAUUAGAUUAGUUAGUUGGUGAGGUAAAGGCUUACCAAGACAAUGAUCUAUAGCUGAUCUGAGAGGAUGAUCAGCCACACUGGAACUGAGAUACGGUCCAGACUCCUACGGGAGGCAGCAGUGGGGAAUAUUGGACAAUGGGCGAAAGCCUGAUCCAGCCAUGCCGCAUGAGUGAAGAAGGCCUUCGGGUUGUAAAGCUCUUUUAGUGAGGAAGAUAAUGACGGUACUCACAGAAGAAGUCCUGGCUAACUCCGUGCCAGCAGCCGCGGUAAUACGGAGAGGGCUAGCGUUAUUCGGAAUCAUUGGGCGUAAAGGGCGCGUAGGCGGGUUAGUAAGUUAAAAGUGAAAUCCCAAGGCUCAACCUUGGAACUGCUUUUAAAACUGCUAGUCUAGAGAUUGAAAGAGGAUAGAGGAAUUCCUAGUGUAGAGAUGAAAUUCGUAAAUAUUAGGAGGAACACCAGUGGCGAANGCGUCUAUCUGGUUCAAAUCUGACGCUGAGGCGCGAAGGCGUGGGGAGCAAACAGGAUUAGAUACCCUGGUAGUCCACGCUGUAAACGAUGAAUGUUAAAUAUGGGAAGUUUACUUUCUGUAUUAUAGCUAACGCGUUAAACAUUCCGCCUGGGGACUACNGUCGCAAGA